rnacentral:rRNA from 1 species
AUGUGGGAAACCACGAUGCGGGAAGCCCAAGUGCCAGCGCUAUGCGUUGGCUGUCCUCAACCGUUCAUUGGUUGGGAAGAAAGUGCUGGGUAAGACGGGUGCCAGCCGCCGCGGUAAUACCCGCAGCACAAGUGGUGGUCAUUAUUAUUGGGCCUAAAGCGUCCGUAGCUUGCGUGUUAGAUGCCUGGGUAAAUCGAUGCGCUUAACGCAUCGAAUUCCGGGUAGACCGGCACGCUCGAGACCGGGAGAGGUGUAGGCUACUCGAGGGGUAGGGGUAAAAUCCUGUAAUCCUUCGGGGAGGACCAGUGGCGAAGGCGCUACACUAGAACGGCUCUGACAGUGAGGGACGAAGCCCUGGGGCGCAAACCGGAUUAGAUACCCCCGUAGUCC